CCUACGGGUGGCAGCAGUGGGGAAUAUUGGACAAUGGGCGAAAGCCUGAUCCAGCCAUGCCGCGUGUGUGAAGAAGGCCUUCGGGUUGUAAAGCACUUUCAGUGGGGAAGAAAGCCUUGGGGCUAAUACCCUCGAGGAAGGACAUCACCCACAGAAGAAGCACCGGCUAACUCCGUGCCAGCAGCCGCGGUAAUACGGAGGGUGCGAGCGUUAAUCGGAAUUACUGGGCGUAAAGCGCGCGUAGGCGGUCUGAUAAGCCGGUUGUGAAAGCCCCGGGCUCAACCUGGGAACGGCAUCCGGAACUGUCAGGCUAGAGUGCAGGAGAGGAAGGUAGAAUUCCCGGUGUAGCGGUGAAAUGCGUAGAGAUCGGGAGGAAUACCAGUGGCGAAGGCGGCCUUCUGGACUGACACUGACGCUGAGGUGCGAAAGCGUGGGUAGCAAACAGGAUUAGAUCCCCGGGUAGUC
rnacentral:rRNA from 1 species